rnacentral:rRNA from 1 species
CCUACGGGUGGCAGCAGUGAGGAAUAUUGGUCAAUGGGCGCGAGCCUGAACCAGCCAAGUAGCGUGAGGGAAGACUGCCCUAUGGGUUGUAAACCUCUUUUGUCAGGGAGCAACGCCGGCUACGUGUAGCCGGACUGAGAGUACCUGAAGAAAAAGCAUCGGCUAACUCCGUGCCAGCAGCCGCGGUAAUACGGAGGAUGCGAGCGUUAUCCGGAUUUAUUGGGUUAAAAGGGUGCGUAGGCGGAAUGCCGAGUCAGCGGUAAAAUCGCGGGGCGAAACCUCGCUCCGCCGUUGAAACUGGCGUUCUUGAGUGGGCGAGAGGUAUGCGGAAUGCGUGGUGUAGCGGUGAAAUGCAUAGAUAUAACGCAGAACACCGAUUGCGAAGGCAGCAUACCGGCGCCCAACUGACGCUGAGGCACGAAAGCGUGGGUAUCGAACAGGAUUAGAUACCCGAGUAGUC